AGAAGUUUGAUCCUGGCUCAGAUUGAACGCUGGCGGCAGGCCUAACACAUGCAAGUCGAGCGGAAACGAGUUAUCUGAACCUUCGGGGAACGAUAACGGCGUCGAGCGGCGGACGGGUGAGUAAUGCCUAGGAAAUUGCCCUGGUGUGGGGGAUAACCAUUGGAAACGAUGGCUAAUGCCGCAUAACACCUUCGGGUCAAAGAGGGGGACCUUCGGGCCUCUCGCGUCAGGAUAUGCCUAGGUGGGAUUAGCUAGUUGGUGAGGUAAUGGCUCACCAAGGCGACGAUCCCUAGCUGGUCUGAGAGGAUGAUCAGCCACACUGGAACUGAGACACGGUCCAGACUCCUACGGGAGGCAGCAGUGGGGAAUAUUGCACAAUGGGCGCAAGCCUGAUGCAGCCAUGCCGCGUGUGUGAAGAAGGCCUUCGGGUUGUAAAGCACUUUCAGUCGUGAGGAAGGUAGUGUAGUUAAUAGCUGCAUUAUUUGA
rnacentral:rRNA from 1 species